ACCUCAACUCUUUGGAUAAGGUAUUUGUGAAUGACCAAUUCCUCAACUGGGAUCCCGAGCAUCGAAUCAAAGUUCAAAUUGUCUCUGCAAGGGCCUAUCAUUCCCUGUUCAUGCACAACAUGUGCAUCCGUCCUACGCCUGAAGAACUGGAGGAUUUCAGUACUCCGGACUUCACAAUUUACAAUGCUGGCCAGUUUCCAUGUAAUCGA